CCUACGGGUGGCAGCAGUGGGGAAUAUUGGGCAAUGGGCGCAAGCCUGACCCAGCAACGCCGCGUGAAGGAAGAAGGCUUUCGGGUUGUAAACUUCUUUUUAGAGGGAAGAGCAGAAGACGGUACCUCUUGAAUAAGCCACGGCUAACUACGUGCCAGCAGCCGCGGUCAUACGUAGGUGGCAAGCGUUGUCCGGAUUUACUGGGUGUAAAGGGCGUGCAGCCGGGAAGACAAGUCAGAUGUGAAAUCCCGCGGCUCAAACGCGGAACUGCAUUUGAAACUGUUUUUCUUGAGUACCGGAGAGGUAAUCGGAAUUCCUUGUGUAGCGGUGAAAUGCGUAGAUAUAAGGAAGAACACCGAUGGCGAAGGCAGAUGACUGGACGGCAACUGACGGUGAGGCGCGAAAGCGUGGGGAGCAAACAGGAUUAGAUACCCGAGUAGUC
rnacentral:rRNA from 1 species